rnacentral:rRNA from 1 species
AAGGUUUCCUGAGGAAGGCUCGUCCGCUCAGGGUUAGUCGGGACCUAAGCCGAGGCCGAAAGGCGUAGGCGAUGGACAACAGGUUGAUAUUCCUGUACCACCUCGUAUUCGUUUGAACGAUGGGGGGACGCAGAAAGGUAGGGUGAGCGCGCCGCUGGCUGUGCGCGUCGAAGCAUGCGAGGCUGGAACAUAGGCAAAUCCGUGUUCCAUAAGGCUGAGCUGUGACCGUGAAGGACCUUCGGGUCCGAAAUCCCUGAUCCUCCGCUGCCGAGAAAAGCCUCUAGUGAGAAUACAGGUGCCCGUACCGCAAACCGACACAGGUAGGCGAGAAGAGAAUUCUAAGACGCUCGGGAGAACUCUCGUUAAGGAACUCGGCAAAAUGACCCCGUAACUUCGGGAGAAGGGGUGCUCUAGUAGGGUUAACCGCCCGAGAGAGCCGCAGUGAAAGGAUCCAAGCGACUGUUUAGCAAAAACACAGGUCUCUGCGAAGCCGUAAGGCGAAGUAUAGGGGCUGACACCUGCCCGGUGCUGGAAGGUUAAGAGGAAGGGUCAUCCCUUACGGGAGAAGCUCUGAAUUGAAGCCCCAGUAAACGGCGGCCGUAACUAUAACGGUCCUAAGGUAGCGAAAUUCCUUGUCGGGUAAGUUCCGACCCGCACGAA